GUAGCCAAGCUUUAAUUGUACGCUUGUUAACAAUGCCAUGCAGGUUAAUUAAUUGACCAUAACUGGCGUAUUUACCAUUCACAUGUCUCAGACGUCUGAUCUGCAUAAAAGAAAUACGAGGCGAAAUUAAUCUUUCAAAAA
rnacentral:lncRNA from 1 species